rnacentral:rRNA from 1 species
CGGGCGAGGCGCCGGUCUAAGUCCCUUGGAACGGGGCGUCAUAGAGGGUGAGAAUCCCGUAUGUGACCGGUGACCGAGCCCAUGUGAAACUCCUUCGACGAGUCGAGUUGUUUGGGAAUGCAGCUCAAAAUGGGUGGUAAAUUUCAUCUAAAGCUAAAUACCGGCCAGAGACCGAUAGCGCACAAGUAGAGUGAUCGAAAGAUGAAAAGCACUUUGGAAAGAGAGUCAAACAGUACGUGAAAUUGUUGAAAGGGAAGCGCUUGCAGCCAGACCUGCCCGCGGGUGAUCAACCGUCCUUCUGGGCGGUGCACUCGCCCGCGAUCAGGCCAGCAUCGGUUCGGGCGGCCGGAUAAAGGCCUCGGGAACGUAGCUCCUUUCGGGGAGUGUUAUAGCCCGUGGUGCAAUGCGGCCCGCCUGGACCGAGGACCGCGCUUCGGCAAGGAUGCUGGCGUAAUGGCUGUAAGCGGCCCGUCUUGAAACACGGACCAAGGAGUCUAACAUCUAUGCGAGUGUUUGGGUGUCAAACCCAUACGCGUAAUGAAAGUGAACGGAGGUGGGAACCCCUUCCGGGGCGCACCAUCGACCGAUCCAGAUGUCUUCGGAUGGAUUUGAGUACGAGCAUCAAUGUUGGGACCCGAAAGAUGGUGAACUAUGCUUGAAUAGGGUGAAGCCAGAGGAAACUCUGGUGGAGGCUCGCAGCGGUUCUGACGUGCAAAUCGAUCGUCAAAUUUGGGCAUAGGGGCGAAAGACUAAUCGAACCAUC